AAACAAUUUAUAAUUUUAUUUGAUCUAUUCACAUUUGUUAUGAGUAAUUUUUUUCGGCGUUAGCUGUAUAACAUGGAUUUUGACCUAGAUUCUGUAGUAAUCGGAACACGGAACAGGUGCGCGCUGAGAAGAUAAACCAUUUAUUAAGUCUUAAAUGACAUUGAAUUUCAGAAGGCACAUAUUAAAUGGAAGAUAUUUAGUAGUUUUGUUACCCAAAACUAAAAUGAUUUAUUCAAAUUUUAAAGUUUUUAGUAAUUUAUCACCGCAAGAGAAAUCGAAAGUAAACUUCUUCCCCCGUUGCGUACCUCGCUUACAGAUGAAUGAGUGGUGGCUGGUUGUAACUGUAGUCAGUGUACCCGGUUUCGGAUUGUACGCGGUUUCGCAUACACGGCAUAAUUCAUGUUCUUCGUGAAAAUAAAGCAGAAAAUUUUAACAAUUCUUUGUUAUUAUCUCAGGAAACUGCGUUAUUCCCUACAUAAUUUGACACCAGGGGUCUUUCCCCACUGGAGCCUCGCUCUGGUAUUCAACUGCUUUAGCCUUUUCCAGUCCCACUAAUUGUAUGCUGGUCGGCAUAUUGUGCUAGUGGGUUACUUAUGGGGGAUUCUGACCCAACACGAAAUUAUUUCAGAAUCAGCCCAGGACGUCAAAUCAUUUUGACCUUCUUUCACUGAAAGGAUACCUAUUGAUCAUUUAAAUUUGCUGCUUAGUUGAAAUAUUUGCAAAUGAAUAAUAUGUUCGUAUAUGCAUAUCCAAAUCUUUUCUGUCUGUACAUCCUGUUUAAUUCUGAUUUUUUCGUGCUCCAAACAUUAUUACCUCUACGCCGUUUGUCUUUUUUUAAAGACAUUUCUUGUUUAUUGUAUUAUGUAUCAUCAUUCUGCCUUAUAAUUUUAUGAAUUAGUGAAUUAAAGCUGGAAAAAGAG